UGCUUUGUGAUAUUACUAACAUUAGGUUAAGUAUGAAAUAGAUGAGUAUACCCUCAUAUCGUUUUCUAAGGUGUACGACAUCUAUAGGGCAUUUGCAUAACUAAUCAUCAUAAACAUUGGGAGCCAUUUUGUUACUCAGAGAAGCCAAGUGAGGUGUCUGAGGUAAUAUAUCUGCUUAUAUCUUUGUAAUCUUGUGAUAUAUUUUUAUAUUAGUAUAAGUAAAUGAUCUAUUGUUAUAUAAAGACCUAAUUGAAGGAGAAUGUAAUAUGAAUAUUGAGCUAUAUUGUGUGAAAUAAGAGUUUUAUGUCAAGCAUGUAUUAGUGGAAGAUUUGUUCAUUUCAGUUUAACGGAGAUAAUUGGGAAAUAAUUGGACUAGAAAUGGAUGGUAAUGAAUUGCAUGUAAAAAGAAGAAUUCAAGAUGUAUCGAAGAUGCAAUAAAGUACCACAAAAAGAUCCCAAGCGUUUCCAGUGAAACCCACCGGUUCUUGGCUCUCUGCAACAGUUAAACUCAGUUAAACUCAUACACCUGUAUGAAGAGAAGAGGUAGAUUUACUGAGCUCAGUUAAACUCAGUUAAACAUAUCCUCAUGAGUUCAGGUAAACUCAUACACUUGUAUGCAGUUGAAAUUAGUUGGGUUCAGUUAAACUCAGCCCACAACAGAUGGAUACACUGAGUUACAGUUAAACUCAUCGCAUCAGUUAAACUCAAGACCUUCUGCAUGCAGUUAAACAUGCAAAAGUAAAAGAUCAGUCCAGAACUACAGUUAAACUCACAUCCUCAUGAGUUCAGAUUCAAGACCUCCUGUAAGCAGCAGUUACAUACUUCAGUGGGGAUGCUCGUGAGAGGAUUCACAUCUAUCAACCCAUCUUGCAAGAUAAUUCAAGGUCAAGAAGGAUAGAAGAACGGUGUGAAUGUUCGUGGGAAUCCAAAGGCAAGAGGAUAACCUAUAAAUUACUGGAAGAUUUCUGCUCUUUAAAGAAGCUCUUCAUUUCUACAGGUCCCAAAGGCUAGUGAACUUUUAACUAAUAGUUUAACGGAGAUAAUUGGGAAAUAAUUGGACUAGAAAUGGAUGGUAAUGAAUUGCAUGUAAAAAGAAGAAUUCAAGAUGUAUCGAAGAUGCAAUAAAGUACCACAAAAAGA